ensembl:lincRNA
AAAAGAAAAGCGCAGACGUCACACGGCAUCGGCGGGAACGAGCUCAGUGGAAAAUGGCAUCUGGCUAAAAAGUGGACAAUGGAUACCUGGGGCCAAUUAAGACUUGCCUCUGAACGCAAAUAUUUCUCCAAGCAGAACUGGACAGAAAGCAUGAUGGAACGGAUAGGGUUGCAGUACAAGAAAGGUUUGCUGAAAGCCUUCGAAAAGAGCAAUGGGAAAACAAAAAGGUCAGUUUCACCAGUGAGACCGGAUUGUGAUCUGAUGUGGCUUGGAAGAGUUUAAGACCCUCAAAAAAAAUUUAGUUCUAUCAUCACAACACUACGGUGGCAGGUGGAAAAUGUGCCAGUUUGAACAUGGGAAACAUGUCAAUGCAUAUGAUGACCUGGAAUCAGGUGAAGAGCCAAUGAAGAAUCACAUGUCCAAAGGGCAGGCUUCUUUGGAUAAAAUUAAAUUUGGUAGCCAAAUUUCAAAUGAUCAAGAGUUUUCAGGAUUGUUUUACUCACAGAAGCUGAUGAUCAAAUAAUAUUUUUGAGAAAGCAAUUGAAAAAUAGUAUGAAAUUAGACCUGUAUGUUAUUGCACACUGAGAGAAGCUGUGAAUCAAUGACUCAAGAAGAUGGAAAAUGAAUGGAUAAUCCUUUUCGUUACUUCAUAAAAUGAAUGGAUUGUAUCUACUAAAUAUACACUGAAAGAAGACAAUGGGAGGUGCCCUCAGCAGGUUAAGAUGAUUAAGUUUAUCUCAGAUUUUUUUUAUUGCAGUCAUGCUCCCUGGAGUGCUCCGUACUCUAAAGGAAUGAUCAAAAAUACUGUACACAUCAGGGAAAGACUAGAAUCUCCUUAGGAUAAUUAAAGGUGAAAGAGGCAAGUUUCCCAACUGAAGAGAAUCUCUGAGCCCAGAAAUGGGAAUAGCAUUAAGGAUUGGUUUUACGGCCAAGGUAAAAGAUCCUAAAUGAUUUUUCUAUACGUGUACACCACCUUAUUCUGAAUAUAACUGAAAGUAUCUAAAUAUGACACCCAAAGAGACCUGUACAUUUAUAUUUUUAAAGGAGAACACAUACAGUAACGGAAAAAUAAGGAUAAAGAUAAGAAAUUGGAACUGAAUGAAGCCACUGCGAUUUAGAAAUGCACUCUUUCAAAAGCUUCUCAAGGAUGGCUCUUCUAUGUUGCUAGACAAGUGAAGACUCCUGCAGGAUAAGUAAACACACAUGUUUCAAGAUUGAGCUUGUUUAGGAAAAGUGCUUGAUUUUUAUCAAUGUUGGGACAUCAGAAGCCUGCCAGGGCCUAAGAAAAAACUAGAGAAAGCAAGAAUACUUAUCUUAACCUCAAGUUUGGAGAACAAGAAUAUGUGGUUCCUAUUGCAAAUUAGAUUGUUAAGAUAAAUAAUUAUUUCCUGAUAUAAUCUUGAAAUAGGCGGGUAAGAAACUUAAUUGGUUCCUUAUUACACUUCUAAUCCAACCUACUAAUACGACAGUGCAAAUAUGUCUGACUGAAUUAUUACAAAUUAUCACUAUCUCUUAACAAGGGUGCAAUGCUGCAUGGGAGGGGUCACUAUAUAUGUAGUUAUAUAUAUACAUAUAUAUGUAGUUGUAUAUAUGUAACUAUAUGUAUAUUUAUGUUUUUAUUAAAAGUCUGAAUAUUUUAGACUUGUAAUGAAACAACUUGGCUCAGAUUUUAUUUUUUUAAAUAAAG